rnacentral:rRNA from 1 species
AUGAUGCAUGCGCCGGCGGGGAGGAGACGGGCCUUCCAGCCUCGCGACGAGGCCACUCACUUUGUCAUGAGCGAUUUUGCGCUAAGCAACGACCACAGUACGAUGCUGCUCCACGGCCGCGACAGAUCGAACAGCACCUAUCCGGAUGUGUUCUCGGCAAAUCCAAGACCCAUACAGGGAUAUGGCGCAAACGGAUCACCACGCCAAACGAGGAGCUUCUGUGCACAGGCAACUCGGAAGAACGAUGCUACUGCCCUCCCGAUGAGUGCAGAAGCAAAACUGUUCUCCGCUGACGGGUACGCUGGAAUCCGCAACGUCUCAGGCGUUUUCUGCUCACCAGAAGGGGGUGACGAUACCGUGCGAGCACAGGACGAUCAGCACAAGAACAGAGAGAGUGAUCUGCUUCUCUUCGACUGGCCUGAGCUGGAUGACUUGGAGGAUCUCCAGACAGACCUGAGAAAACUCGAUUCGGCGUUUGAGCUAGGGAGCGACUAUUUCGAUGUCCCGAUGUGGCCUUCGAUUUGCUCGCCGAACGUUCAGCUCGUGCCGAGCCCGAGCAGCCACUUCGACAACCCCCGCCCGUCCAAUGUUGCGAACGAGAGCGCGACUAAUCCUGCAUUAAAGCCAGCUAUUUCAGUUCGUGGCACUAGCGAUCAGCAGAUCAACACGCACCAGCCAUCCAGGAAGAAAGGACGGGAGACGCCACUGAACUCUUCUUCUUCCUCCGUGGAGAUCGAGCACUUCCCGCGGCUGUCAGACGCCGACCUCCUCUGCCCCUUCGACCUCCAUGACAUGGUCGUCCCAACAUCGUCCAGCGUCAUGUGCAACGACGAGAUCAUCAUGUCUUCCUCCGCUGCUCGCGCCAGCCCAGACGAUCUCUUCUCGGCUUACGUCCCGACGAAGAAUAAUCGGCCGCGUGCGACUCCGGACAUGAUCCUGGACGAGAUGGCCGGGAACCCGCUGGAGAUGUACUUCCCUCCGCUGGCCACGUACGAGCAGCCUCAGGUGCCGAUGAGUGGCACCGCCUCGACGCUCCCUGCUGAAGGCUUUGCAGGCGACGGUGCUCUGAACGGUGCAGCCAUGCAGUUUGGCUCGAAGCCUUCCAAGGGGAGGAGUUUGGGAGGGGCACGUGAGAAGGCUCGACCGUCGUCGGUUUCGGAAGCGGCGCCGGCGCCGGUGAGGCAUCUCGGGUUCCAGAAGCUUCAGGAAGGGAUGAAUCAGUUGGAUGUGGGAACCAAGACGUGCAUCAGAGACGCCCUGUACCGGCUGGCCAACAGCGUGGAGCACAGACAUCAGGUAGUAGAGCAGAAUGUGGGUUCCUCGGCUGCAAACAGGCUCAGCACAUCGAGCGUAUGGGCGGAGACCGAGAGGAGCCCUAUGGAUCGCUCCGUGGCGCAGCUUCUUCUGCAGAAGCCGCUGGAUCAGAGGACGGCGAAUCGUGCCGCGUGA